rnacentral:rRNA from 1 species
AGCGGAGGAAAAGAAACUAACAAGGAUUCCCCUAGUAACGGCGAGUGAAGCGGGAAUAGCUCAAAUUUGAAAUCUCACAGGGUUACCUGUGCGAAAUUGUAGUUUAGAGAAGCGUUUUCGGGGGUAACUUGGGUAUAAGUCCUUUGGAAUGAGGCAUCAUAGAGGGUGAGAAUCCCGUUUAUGACCCAAUGUUUGCUCCUAUGUGAUACGCUUUCCAAGAGUCAGGUAGUUUGGGAUUGCUGCCUAAAAUGGGUGGUAAAUACCAUCUAAAGCUAAAUAUUGGCGAGAGACCGAUAGCGAACAAGUACCGUGAGGGAAAGAUGAAAAGAACUUUGAAAAGAGAGUUAAACAGUACGUGAAAUUGCCAAAAGGGAAACGCUUGGAACCAGUAUUGUCUACAGGUAAUCAGCCACACAGCCCGCAAGGGUUUGUGCGGUGCACUUGCCUGCAGACAGGUCAACAUCAGUUUGGUUUGGGGUAAAAAGCCGGAGGAAGGUAGCUUGGGCUUCGGCCUGAGUGUUAUAGCCUCCGGUCAUGCCUUGGACUAGACUGAGGUCUGCAGUGUUAUUUGGGUACCCAAUCGCCUCCUGAACCUUGCUUUCAGACAGCUUGCUGACUGUAAGUAAGGCUAGGGAGCCCGGUUAGUUUACCACACCAACUCUUAGGAUGU